rnacentral:piRNA from 1 species
CUCAGGCUAGACUAAUGUCCAUCCUAUGGGA